rnacentral:rRNA from 1 species
UACGGGGGGGGCAAGCGUUGUUCGGAAUUACUGGGCGUAAAGGGCUCGUAGGCGGCCAACUAAGUCGGAUGUGAAAUCCCCAGGCUCAACCUGGGAACUGCAUCCGAUACUGGAUGGCUUGAAUCCGGGAGAGGGAUGCAGAAUUCCAGGUGUAGCGGUGAAAUGCGUAGAUAUCGGGAAGAACACCUAUGGCGAAGGCAGCUCUCUGGGACGGUACUGACGCUGAGACGCGAAAGCGUGGGGAGCGAACAGG